UACGUAGGGUGCGAGCGUUGUCCGGAAUUAUUGGGCGUAAAGAGCUCGUAGGCGGCCUGUCGCGUCGGAUGUGAAAGCCCCGGGGCUUAACCCCGGGUCUGCAUUCGAUACGGGCUAGCUAGAGUGUGGUAGGGGAGAUCGGAAUUCCUGGUGUAGCGGUGAAAUGCGCAGAUAUCAGGAGGAACACCGGUGGCGAAGGCGGAUCUCUGGGCCAUUACUGACGCUGAGGGCGAAGCGAUGGGAGCGACGGAGGAUGAUGAU
rnacentral:rRNA from 1 species